ACGAACGCUGGCGGCAUGCCUAACACAUGCAAGUCGAACGGAGAUUAUUUCGGUAAUCUUAGUGGCGACCGGGUGAGUAACGCGUGGGCAACCUGCCCUCUAGAUGGGGACAACAUCCCGAAAGGGGUGCUAAUACCGAAUGUGACAGCAAUCUCGCAUGAGGAUGCUGUGAAAGAUGGCCUCUAUUUAUAAGCUAUCGCUAGAGGAUGGGCCUGCGUCUGAUUAGCUAGUUGGUGGGGUAACGGCCUACCAAGGCGAUGAUCAGUAGCCGGUCUGAGAGGAUGAACGGCCACAUUGGGACUGAGACACGGCCCAGACUCCUACGGGAGGCAGCAGUGGGGAAUCUUCCGCAAUGGGCGAAAGCCUGACGGAGCAAUGCCGCGUGAGUGAUGAAGGAAUUCGUUCCGUAAAGCUCUUUUGUUUAUGACGAAUGUGCAGAUUGUGAACAAUGAUCUGUAAUGACGGUAGUAAACGAAUAAGCCACGGCUAACUACGUG
rnacentral:rRNA from 1 species